UACGAAGGGGGCUAGCGUUGCUCGGAAUCACUGGGCGUAAAGCGCACGUAGGCGGAUUGUUAAGUCAGGGGUGAAAUCCUGGAGCUCAACUCCAGAACUGCCUUUGAUACUGGCGAUCUCGAGUCCGGGAGAGGUGAGUGGAACUGCGAGUGUAGAGGUGAAAUUCGUAGAUAUUCGCAAGAACACCAGUGGCGAAGGCGGCUCACUGGCCCGAUACUGACGCUGAGGUGCGAAAGCGUGGGGAGCAAACAGGG
rnacentral:rRNA from 1 species